UACGUAGGUGGCAAGCGUUGUCCGGAGUUAUUGGGCGUAAAGCGCGCGCAGGCGGUUCGGAAAGUCCAUGGUGAAAGCGCCCGGCUCAACUGGGCGAGUGCCGUGGGGACUAUCGAGCUGGAGGGGAGCAGAGGCGAGUGGAAUUCCGGGUGUAGUGGUGAAAUGCGUAGAUAUCAGGAGGAACACCAAUAGCGAAGGCAGCUCGCUGGGACGGUAUUGACGCUAAGGCGCGAAAGCGUGGGGAGCAAACAGG
rnacentral:rRNA from 1 species